rnacentral:rRNA from 1 species
AACGAAGCGCCUGCGGCGGACCCCUCCGGGGGACAUCCGCAGGGGACUGAGUGGCGGACGGGUGAGCAACGCGUGGGCAACCUGCCCCGUACCGGGGGACAACAGCCGGAAACGGCUGCUAAUACCGCAUAUUCCCGCGGGGCCGCAUGGCCCUGCGGGGAAAGCUCCGGCAGUACGGGAUGGGCCCGCGUCUGAUUAGCUUGUUGGCGGGGUAACGGCCCACCAAGGCUGCGAUCAGUAGCCGGCCUGAGAGGGCGGCCGGCCACAUUGGGACUGAGACACGGCCCAGACUCCUGCGGGAGGCAGCAGUGGGGGAUAUUGCACAAUGGGGGGAACCCUGAUGCAGCGACGCCGAAAAAACGAAGAAAUAUUUCGGUAUGUAAAGUUCUAUCAGCAGGGAAGAAAAUGACAGAACCUGACCAAGAAGCCCCGGCUAACUACGUGCCAGCAGCCGCGGUAAUACGUAGGGGGCGAGCGUUAUCCGGAUUCACUGGGCGUAAAGGGAGCGCAGGCGGCACGGCAAGUCCGGUGUGAAAGCCCGGGGCCCAACCCCGGGACUGCACUGGAAACUGCCGGGCUGGAGUGUCGGAGGGGCAGGCGGAAUUCCUAGUGUAGCGGUGAAAUGCGUAGAUAUUAGAAAGAACACCGGUGGCGAAGGCGGCCUGCUGGACGACGACUGACGCU